UGGCUGUAUGUUUAUGUAUUUCGUAUGCCCGGCUGGUUUGCUGUUUUCAAGGAGAUGAUAUGGUCUGGAUCUUUCAAAAGAUAGUCUGGUGUCUAUGAAGACGGUGGAGUCCGUCCUGUAUGUGAGAGCGAAUAUUAAGGAGCAAGCAAGACCAGCUGCAAAGCAAGCCCCUGCCGCCCACACUACUGACUUAUUCGAUUGAUCGGUGCGUGAUUUUGUUUCCUAUAUAUAAUGUAUGUAGCCAUAUAUAUAUACUAGCAUGCCUGCAGCAUUUGACUAGUGACUAUAAUAAUGCUUGCAAUCUCUCGAACCAGAAUCAGAAUGUGUGACUAUCUAGCUGUUGAUGCCGAUUUUUUUUUUUGACGCAUAAACAUAAAGCUUACUAUUAGCAGCAAAGCGCUGCUAAGACAGUACAAGGUUCGAUGUUUACAUCAUGCAGAGCCUCAGACUGGAGGCAGCCAGAUACAUGAUUUGGAUUUUUUAUUCAAACUACAUUGAGGGAUCCUGUC
rnacentral:lncRNA from 1 species